rnacentral:rRNA from 1 species
AGCGAACGCUGGCGGCAGGCCUAACACAUGCAAGUCGAACGAACCUUUCGGGGGUAGUGGCGGACGGGUGAGUAACACGUGGGAACGUGCCUUUAGGUUCGGAAUAACUCAGGGAAACUUGUGCUAAUACCGAAUGUGCCCUUCGGGGGAAAGAUUAAUCGCCUUUAGAGCGGCCCGCGUCUGAUUAGCUAGUUGGUUGAGGUAAUGGCUCACCAAGGCGACGAUCAGUAGCUGGUCUGAGAGGAUGAUCAGCCACAUUGGGACUGAGACACGGCCCAAACUCCUACGGGAGGCAGCAGUGGGGAAUCUUGCGCAAUGGGCGAAAGCCUGACGCAGCCAUGCCGCGUGAAUGAUGAAGGUCUUAGGAUUGUAAAAUUCUUUCACCGGGGACGAUAAUGACGGUACCCGGAGAAGAAGCCCCGGCUAACUUCGUG